UAGCGGAGGAAAAGAAACCAACAGGGAUUGCCCUAGUAACGGCGAGUGAAGCGGCAACAGCUCAAAUUUGAAAUCUGGCGUCUUUGGCGUCCGAGUUGUAAUUUGCAGAGGGCGCUUUGGCAUUGGCAGCGGUCCAAGUUCCUUGGAACAGGACGUCACAGAGGGUGAGAAUCCCGUACGUGGUCGCUAGCCUUUACCGUGUAAAGCCCCUUCGACGAGUCGAGUUGUUUGGGAAUGCAGCUCUAAAUGGGAGGUAAAUUUCUUCUAAAGCUAAAUACUGGCCAGAGACCGAUAGCGCACAAGUAGAGUGAUCGAAAGAUGAAAAGCACUUUGGAAAGAGAGUUAAAAAGCACGUGAAAUUGUUGAAAGGGAAGCGCUUGCAGCCAGACUUGCCUGUAGUUGCUCAUCCGGGUUUUUACCCGGUGCACUCUUCUAUAGGCAGGCCAGCAUCAGUUUGGGCGGUUGGAUAAAGGUCUCUGUCACGUACCUCCUCUCGGGGAGAACUUAUAGGGGAGACGUAAUGCAACCAGCCUGGACUGAGGUCCGCGCAUCUGCUAGGAUGCUGGCGUAAUGGCUGUAAGCGGCCCGUCU
rnacentral:rRNA from 1 species